AGUUUAUAGAAUAAUACUAUAUUUUAUCCAAGCUGCUAGCUGUAUUCAUCCGGACCAACCUUCAAGUCCAGCUGCAUCUAAAGAGAAACUGAAGCUGAAAUUAUAGAAUUUUCGUUCAACGAUUGUUGAAAAUGAAUCAGCCCAGCAUCAGAUAUAAAAAAUAUUAUGUUGAUAGCCUUUCAACGUAUCAAUUUUGCAUGUACAUGGGUACAAAACCUUAAACCAUAUAAGACUUUGAUAUCACGUUUGCGCACUUAAGAGAUCAUCCACAAGCGAAGCAAAAAUAAAAUUAUGCAGAUUUACAAUUUUUUAGAGAACUUUUUAAAAACCACUGCAGCAAAUUAAACUUACCCGUUAAAGAAUACGUGAAACAAAGGAAAAACGUAACGAUAGUAAAGACAAACGAAGACUUGGUAUGUUGGGAACAAAUAAGACGGGAGUAAAAUUAACCUGACUGUAUAGUCUAAUAAUAAUAUUUUAAUAAUAUAAUAUAAUGUUAUAUAUUAAAUAUUGUUUUUGAGAUUAUUCAGUCAGGUUAAUAGUAUUCUAUCUUGGCUGUUCCUAAUAUGCCAAGUCUUCGUUUAUCUUUAAUAUCGUUACGUUUUUCCUUUGUUUAGCGCAUUCUUUAACGGAUAAGAUUAAUUUGCUGCAAUGGUUUUUAAAAAGUCUUAGUCGUUGCCAA